AGCGAACGCUGGCGGCAGGCUUAACACAUGCAAGUCGAGCGGGCACUUCGGUGUCAGCGGCAGACGGGUGAGUAACACGUGGGAACGUACCCUUUGGUUCGGAAUAACGCUGGGAAACUAGCGCUAAUACCGGAUACGCCCUUUUGGGGAAAGGCUUGCUGCCGAAGGAUCGGCCCGCGUCUGAUUAGCUAGUUGGUGGGGUAAUGGCCUACCAAGGCGACGAUCAGUAGCUGGUCUGAGAGGAUGAUCAGCCACACUGGGACUGAGACACGGCCCAGACUCAUACGGGAGGCAGCAGUGGGGAAUAUUGGACAAUGGGCGCAAGCCUGAUCCAGCCAUGCCGCGUGAGUGAUGAAGGCCUUAGGGUUGUAAAGCUCUUUUGUCCGGGACGAUAAUGACGGUACCGGAAGAAUAAGCCCCGGCUAACUUCGUG
rnacentral:rRNA from 1 species